rnacentral:rRNA from 1 species
GAUGAACGCUGGCGGCGUGCCUAAUACAUGCAAGUCGAGCGAACAGACGAGGAGCUUGCUCCUCUGACGUUAGCGGCGGACGGGUGAGUAACACGUGGAUAACCUACCUAUAAGACUGGGAUAACUUCGGGAAACCGGAGCUAAUACCGGAUAAUAUAUUGAACCGCAUGGUUCAAUAGUGAAAGACGGUUUUGCUGUCACUUAUAGAUGGAUCCGCGCUGCAUUAGCUAGUUGGUAAGGUAACGGCUUACCAAGGCAACGAUGCCUAGCCGACCUGAGAGGGUGAUCGGCCACACUGGAACUGAGACACGGUCCAGACUCCUACGGGAGGCAGCAGUAGGGAAUCUUCCGCAAUGGGCGAAAGCUUGACGGAGCAACGCCGCGUGAGUGAUGAAGGUCUUCGGAUCGUAAAACUCUGUUAUUAGGGAAGAACAAAUGUGUAAGUAACUAUGCACGUCUUGACGGUACCUAAUCAGAAAGCCACGGCUAACUACGUG